AACGUGGGGAAGUGAAACAUCUCAGUACCCACAGGAAAAGAAAUCAACCGAGAUUCCCUUAGUAGCGGCGAGCGAAACGGGAGUAGCCCUAAAAUCUUUGAGGUGUUAGUAGAAUAAGCUGGAAUGCUUGACCGAAGAGGGUGAAAGUCCCGUAUACGAAAACUAAUCAUAGACUAUUCGAGUAGGUCGGGACACGUGAAACCCUGACUGAAUAUGGGAGGACCACCUUCCAAGGCUAAAUACUACUUCAGGAUCGAUAGUGAACCAGUACCGUGAGGGAAAGGUGAAAAGAACCGCAGUGAGCGGAGUGAAAUAGAACCUGAAGCCAUCUGCCUACAAUCAUUCAGAGCCCCAUGCUAUACGCGGGGUGAUGGACUGCCUUUUGCAUAAUGAGCCUGCGAGUUAUGGUGACUAGCAAGGUUAAUCACACGAGAAGCCGUAGCGAAAGCGAGUCUUAAUAGGGCGAUAGUUAGUUGCUGUAGACCCGAAACUAAGUGAUCUAUCCAUGGGCAGGUUGAAGCUGGUGUAAGAGCUAGUGGAGGACCGAACGGGUGAAGGUUUAAAACUUCUCCGAUGACCUGUGGAUAGGGGUGAAAGGCCAAUCAAACUUAGUGAUAGCUGGUUCUCUCCGAAAUAUAUUUAGGUAUAGCGUCAUGUUCGAAACAUGAGGGGGUAGAGCACUGAUUGGGCUAGGGCCUAUACCAAG
rnacentral:rRNA from 1 species